UUUCAGAAAAAUGGCCGCUACUUGUUUCACUCUUGAAGCAGUGAAAGAAUUUAUGAUAAAUAAUGGAGGAAGAGUGACGAAUCAACAACUCGUCACACAUUUUAAAGCCUUCCUCAACGAUCCAGUGUCAAAAGUAACACACAGAGAAAAAUUCAAAGAUUUUGUUAAUGAGUUAGCCACAAUUAAACUAGAAGAAGCUGGUAAAAUAUUGGUAUUAAAAAAGAAAUACCGACCAGAAGCUACACCCAUUCCAGCCCCUAGAUCUAUAAGAACUGAUAAUGCUAGAGCAUCUUCGGAACCUCCUGGAAGAGUUGAUGAUGAACACGAUGGUGUUGGAAUGUCUAAAGUACGAAGUGAAGAAUAUUUUGACAGCAGAAUAAAAGUUAAAAACAAUGAUAGUGGUGUUAAUAGCCUGGCUGCUUCUACUUCAUCCAUAGCUUCAUCAGGUUCACAGAUAUCACAACUAUCCACAGGCACAGCUUCUACUGAAGAUGAAGUGAAUGAAUCUAUAUCUGUAAAAGAACGAGCCAAACAUUUAAAUAAAAUAGAGUCACAAAGCGAUGUGUUGAUGCCAAAUCAAUUUAGAAAGAAAACUGCUAGAGAAAAAUUUGGGGGUGGCGGAGAUGAUGAUGAUGAUCAUUCCUCGGGUACUGCCUUUCCUACGUAUGAUGAGGAGGAGAAAAACUGGAUGUUAACAUGUUGUUCAGCUGAAUACCAUGAAAUGAAUAGGUUAUUAUCAAAAAAUCCUGCUCUUGCUAAAAUCAGGGACUUUACAAAUGUAAGUAUACUAUUAAUGAUAAAUAUACUAAUGGUAAAUGUCUAAUUGAAAUUUAGAGAAUGAGAAUUGAGAUGCAAAAGGUGUUAC